AAAUAGGUCUCACCAAAGAACUGUGCUGAUUGGCUGAAUACACCCUGCGCAUGCGUUCACGGAAUACCAAGUACUUUGAAGGGAGAUUUUAGAAGAUUAUGCUAACAGGACCCUGAAGUUGUCUUGUGUGAGGAUAGUCCAGUGACUGGCAAAUACAGAAGUGGAUGCUCACAAUCAUCUAUUGGAUGGAACACAGGACCCCCAAUGGAGGAGCUAGAGAAAGUACCCUAGGAACUGAGGUUGUUUGAAACCCUAAAUAAGAACAACAAUAUUAACUAACCAG
rnacentral:lncRNA from 1 species